rnacentral:misc_RNA from 1 species
UUUUUUUUCCAGCAUUUGAAUGUAAAGUGUGGGACAAGUUUCUUUAUAUGAUGAGUGGGUUAUUUUCUUAAUCAAGAAGAAGAAUUGCAAGCUUUGGACAAUGGUACAAAGAGGUAGGAAGCAAUAAUACUGGUUGGAUAGUAAAAAUUCCUUCACUGCAAUUAUCUUUUGUGGGUUCCUCUCCUGUUGUGGGGGUAAUGUAGUGGGAUAUAUCUGCCCUGAAAGCUCAAACAGAAGAUGGGAAGGUCAUUGGUGAUGACAUGAAGUCAAACCAGAAUUCCAAGAUCUAUCAGAAAUGGAAGAUGGUUUGUCUCACAUGACAAGAACGGCCAAAGAGAUCAUCUGCCACUAAAGAGAAGGUUGUGGGGUCUUAAAAAUGAAAAGUGGUUGAAGAAUGGCUUUUCUAAAGGCAAGUUCGCAGAUUGACUCUUCAAUUUUUAUUUUUCUUAAUAGAUAUAAACUUUUUAGUGCUUCCUGGGAAUGAGAAG